CUCAAGGUUGACUUUUGGCCCCUAUGUGACUUUGGCUGGUUUCCUGACCUGGAUCCUGUGCCUCAGUUCCCACCUCUGGCAGAUACACCCUUAGCCAGGAGAUCCUUGUCCACCCAUGGAGUUGUUGUACCUCACUAUCAGAAAAGACAAUGCUCUGGAUAUAAGUUAUAGGGAUCCAAGAACGUAUCCACCAGUGCAAUGUAUUGUAAAUGAAGACAUAAGAAUUUGGGUUUAUAAAUGUCUGCUGUCACCCUGUUUGUUUAACCUAUACACUGAGCACAUCAUGAGAUGCCAGGCUGGAUGAGUUACAAGCUGGAAUCAAGAUAGGUGGGAGAAACAUCAACAACCCUGAGGUUGUUGCGGAUGAUACUACUCUAAUGGCAGAAGUGAACGGUAACUAACGAGCCUCUUGAUGAGGAUGAAGCGGGACAGUGAACAAGCCAGCUUAAAACUAAAUAUUAAAAACACCUAAGAUCAACUAAAUAUUAAAAAAAAAACUAAGAUCAAGGCAUUCGGCCCCAUUACUCCAUGGCAAAUAGAAGGGGAAUUGUGGAAGUGAUGACAGAUUUCCUCUUCUUGGCUCUAAAAUCACUGUGGAUGGUGACUGUAGCCAUGAAAUCAAAAGAUAAUUGCUUCUUGGUAGGAAAGCUAUGACAAACCUAGGCAGUGUGUUGAAAAGCAGAGAUAUCACUCUGCUUACAAAGGUUUGUAGAGUCAAAGCUAUGGUUUUUCCAGUAGUCAUGCAUGAAUUCGAGAGUUGGAUCACAAAGAAGGCUGAGUGCCGAAGAACUGAUGCUUUCGAACACUCUUGAGAGUCCCUUGGACAGCCAGGAGAUCAAACUAGUCAAUCUUAAUGGAAAUCAACCCUGAAUACUUCUUAGAAGGACUGAUGCUGAAGCUAAAGCUCCAGUAUUUUGGUUAUCUGAUGUGAACAGCCAACUCUUGGAAAUGUCCCUGAUGGCGGGAAAUAUUGAGGGCAGAAGGAGAAAAGGGUGUCGGAGGAUGAGCUAGACAGAAGGCAUCACCAAUGCAGUGGACAUGAACUUGGGCAAACUUCAGGAGAUGGUGAGGGACAGGGAAGCCUGGCGUGCUUCAGUCCAUAGGAUCACAAAGAGUUUGACAUGACUAGGUGACUGAAUGACAACAUUAAUUUUGUACGAGUGUGGUUUCUACAAGUCAGUUUCCUUGAGAAACUGAAGAAUUGACAUGGCCAUGUUUCUGAACUUCCAAGGGCAAGAAUAGAGCCAGGCUCAUACUGCUGUUACCCUGGGAGGGUAUGCAGCGGUUGUCAGCCAGGUGCCAUC
ensembl:lncRNA